rnacentral:piRNA from 1 species
UCUUCAGCUGAAGACACAUGAACAUGAUGGU